UGAUGCAAUCCAUCUCAUGCUCUCAACUCCCUUGCGUCGAUCGAUCAGUUCCCUAUUCUCAUCUCAUUGCAACAUUUCACUUAUCAAAGCGUUAUUGUUGGUCACUCAAACGGGUGAAGCAUAUCACUGGUGAGUGUAUUAUAUGCAUACAUUUAAUCAGUAAGAACCAGUAUAUUUUCGUGCUUUUAUGUCACUAAAUAGGAGAGAAUAAAUAAGGUUCAUGUUCAAGAAGGAAGAAUAAUAUUAUGUAUCAUCAUCUCUAACCUAUCUGUAUUUCCAUUGUUGGUACAUCUAUUUUUACGGACGCAUACGGUAUCUAUUUGAAGGAUAUACCAUCAACUGUGAAAGAUGAAACACUCUGUGAGUGGAGCAAUUAUUUCUUCAAGAAUGGACAACGAAUUUUCAACUUCUGGGAAGACAUCAGAAGCUGAUAUUAAAGCUUUCAAGUUAAUUGAAACCAAGAAAUCUGAUAAUUCAUCAGUUAACAAUAAUGAACCACAACUUCUAGACCCCCAAAAAGUUUUUGAAGUUGUCUGCAAAGCUUCAAGCUGCUCAACUUUCGAAACUUCCUUCAUUGAGUGCAACAAGCAGGUCAACAGUAAGCACUACACUUCAGAAAAUUGUGAACAAGAAUUGUUUGAUAUGAUGCAUUGUGUCAAUAACUGUGUGAACAAGGACCUUUUCAAAUAUCUCAGGUAGAAAUUUCUACCUGAAAAUGAAGCCAAAAUGAACUUUUAAUGAAAAACUCAAAUUUGGAAUAAACUGAUAGUAAAGGUUUCAGAA